rnacentral:misc_RNA from 1 species
UGUUUUUAGUGUUCGGUAUUCCUUGACAAGGAGUAGGAGAUAACAGAGCUAGCUAGAGAAAUACAGCCUAGGAACAAGAAACAUUGAGUGAAGCUCUAUUUUUCUUUUCUGUUCUUCCUGUUUGUUUCUUGCUUUGCUCCACUCCGGAGUCUGGUAUGAAUAUAGUGUAUUGAGGUCUGGUGAUUGGCGAUUAGUGAUGAGGUCGAAAGAAGAGGAAUCCUUGGAGGUAAGUGCAGACAAAACUUCAUCCGCGAUCCUCUUGUGCGGAGCAAAGUCUAUGAAAAAGUCCUUAAGCCAUGUAUUCAAAAAGCCCCAAAAGAAUCAUAUCCUGCGCAGAGGGAUUCGAUUCUCCUCUCCAGAAGAGUUUGAGUCCUAUAUUCAGAAACAGAUUCUGUUAUCCCGGAAGAACGAUAAGAAACGGAAGGUGAAGAGAAAAGAGGCAACUUACACGAAUUUGGGCUUCGAUCCCCAUGGAAUAUCGUCGUCUUCUCCAAAAAGAGCCCGACUCAAUCCAGACGUCCUCAAGUCCCUCCUCGCACAGGAGACAAAAACUAGCUCCUCUCCCAAAACUUUAACAGCAUAUGAUCAACUCCGUUCAGCCCGAUUCCGCUAUAUCAAUGAAAAACUUUACACGCAAUCGGGCUCCGUAUCCAAAAAGAUGUUUCGACAAGAUCCUGAGGCCUUUCAAAUUUAUCAUCAAGGCUACGCCAAUCAAAUUAACAAAUGGCCCAUUGAUCCACUUGACUGCAUUGUCUCCUCAAUGAUGAGAAAAUCAGAGUCCGCUGUUGUGGUAGACAUGGGCUGUGGUGAAGCUAGAUUAGCGCGACUACUACCCUCACAGUAUCGGGUUCAUUCCUUUGAUUUUAUUGCUCUCAACACACACGUUACGCCUUGUGAUAUGUCUAAAACCCCCUUAGUCUCUUCUUCGGUCGAUGUUGUUGUAUUUUGUCUUUCCUUGAUGGGAACGAAUCUUAAAGAUUAUUUGAGAGAAGCAAAUCGGAUUCUUAAAGUCAAGUAUGUUGGUCAUUCCUUUGUUUGUUCCUCAGAUAACAACACACAUCAAUUCAAACGAAAUUUUUUCUUAAUCUCUAACGUGUACAUAUUAAGCUCACUAUGAGAUCUAGAGAAACAAUUUUACUUUGAAUUAUCGAACUCCUGUUGCAAAAAUCAAUGGGACAUUGAAAAUCGCAGAAGUGGAAAGUCGUUUUCGAGAAACAACACCAGAGAAAUUCACAACUGUUGUUGAAAAAAUCGGCUUCAAGCUUAAAUGGAAGGACUUAUCUAAGAAAGUUUUCUACCUCAUGGACUUUAAGAAAGUGAGCUCUUGCUCAACCCUUAAGAUACCUCAACUCAAUUUGAAACCAUGUAUUUACAAGAAAAGAUGACUUCAAAUAUAUAUACACUUCAUAAAUAGAAAA